CCUACGGGUGGCAGCAGUGGGGAAUCUUGCGCAAUGGGCGGAAGCCUGACGCAGCGACGCCGCGUGCGGGAAGAAGGCCUUCGGGUCGUAAACCGCUUUCAGCAGGGCCGAGGCACUCACGGUGACGGUCCCUGCAGACGAAGCUCCGGCUAACUACGGGCCGGCAGCCGCGGUAUUACGUAGGGGGAGAGCGGUAUCCGGAUUCAUUGGGGGUAAAGCGCGCGUAGGCGGCCUGUUAGGUCGGGGGUCAAAGCCCGGGGCACAACCCCGGCCCGCCCCCGAUACCGGCAGGCUUGAGUCUGGUAGGGGAAGGCGGAAUUCCCAGUGUAGCGGUGGAAUGCGCAGAUAUUGGGAAGAACACCGGCGGCGAAGGCGGCCUUCUGGGCCACGACUGACGCUGAGGCGCGAAAGCGAGGGGAGCGAACAGGAUUAGAUACCCGAGUAGUC
rnacentral:rRNA from 1 species